GAGAGUUUGAUCCUGGCUCAGGAUGAACGCUAGCGACAGGCUUAACACAUGCAAGUCGAGGGGCAGCGGGGGUAGCAAUACCCGCCGGCGACCGGCGCACGGGUGAGUAACGCGUAUGCAACUUACCUAUCAGAGGGGGAUAACCCGGCGAAAGUCGGACUAAUACCGCAUGAAGCAGGGGCCCCGCAUGGGGAUAUUUGCUAAAGAUUCAUCGCUGAUAGAUAGGCAUGCGUUCCAUUAGGCAGUUGGCGGGGUAACGGCCCACCAAACCGACGAUGGAUAGGGGUUCUGAGAGGAAGGUCCCCCACAUUGGUACUGAGACACGGACCAAACUCCUACGGGAGGCAGCAGUGAGGAAUAUUGGUCAAUGGCCGAGAGGCUGAACCAGCCAAGUCGCGUGAGGGAUGAAGGUUCUAUGGAUCGUAAACCUCUUUUAUAAGGGAAUAAAGUGCGGGACGUGUCCCGUUUUGUAUGUACCUUAUGAAUAAGGAUCGGCUAACUCCGUGCCAGCAGCCGCGGUAAUACGGAGGAUCCGAGCGUUAUCCGGAUUUAUUGGGUUUAAAGGGUGCGUAGGCGGCCUUUUAAGUCAGCGGUGAAAGUCUGUGGCUCAACCAUAGAAUUGCCGUUGAAACUGGGGGGCUUGAGUAUGUUUGAGGCAGGCGGAAUGCGUGGUGUAGCGGUGAAAUGCAUAGAUAUCACGCAGAACCCCGAUUGCGAAGGCAGCCUGCCAAGCCAUUACUGACGCUGAUGCACGAAAGCGUGGGGAUCAAACAGGAUUAGAUACCCUGGUAGUCCACGCAGUAAACGAUGAUCACUAGCUGUUUGCGAUACACUGUAAGCGGCACAGCGAAAGCGUUAAGUGAUCCACCUGGGGAGUACGCCGGCAACGGUGAAACUCAAAGGAAUUGACGGGGGCCCGCACAAGCGGAGGAACAUGUGGUUUAAUUCGAUGAUACGCGAGGAACCUUACCCGGGUUUGAACGCAUUCGGACCGAGGUGGAAACACCUUUUCUAGCAAUAGCCGUUUGCGAGGUGCUGCAUGGUUGUCGUCAGCUCGUGCCGUGAGGUGUCGGCUUAAGUGCCAUAACGAGCGCAACCCUUGCCACUAGUUACUAACAGGUGAUGCUGAGGACUCUGGUGGGACUGCCAGCGUAAGCUGCGAGGAAGGCGGGGAUGACGUCAAAUCAGCACGGCCCUUACAUCCGGGGCGACACACGUGUUACAAUGGCGUGGACAAAGGGAAGCCACCUGGCGACAGGGAGCGAAUCCCCAAACCACGUCUCAGUUCGGAUCGGAGUCUGCAACCCGACUCCGUGAAGCUGGAUUCGCUAGUAAUCGCGCAUCAGCCAUGGCGCGGUGAAUACGUUCCCGGGCCUUGUACACACCGCCCGUCAAGCCAUGGGAGCCGGGGGUACCUGAAGUCCGUAACCGAAAGGAUCGGCCUAGGGUAAAACUGGUGACUGGGGCUAAGUCGUAACAAGGUAGCCG
rnacentral:rRNA from 1 species